rnacentral:rRNA from 1 species
AGCUCCAAUAGCGUAUAUUAAAGUUGUUGCAGUUAAAAAGCUCGUAGUUGGAUUUCGGGACGGGCCAGUUGGUCCGCCGCAAGGUGUGUACUGACUGGUCUGUUCUUCUUCGCAAAGACUGCGUGUGCUCUUUAUUGAGUGUGCGUAGGAUUUACGACGUUUACUUUGAAAAAAUUAGAGUGUUCAAAGCAGGCUAUCGCUUGAAUACAUGAGCAUGGAAUAAUGGAAUAGGACUUUGGUCCUAUUUUGUUGGUUUCUAGGACCGAAGUAAUGAUUAAGAGGGACAAUUGGGGGCAUUCGUAUUUCGUUGUCAGAGGUGAAAUUCUUGGAUUUACGAAAGACGAACAACUGCGAAAGCAUUUGCCAAGAAUGUUUUCA